AUACUUACCUGGACGGGGUCUAUGGGUGAUCAAUAAGGCUCAUGGCCUAGAUCAAUUGUUCAUAUUGCACAUAGUGAACGCUUUGAUCUACCAUCUCCCCUCCGCGGGAGAGUGGACGUCGUAAUUUAUGUUAGCGGGGGUAUGCGUCCGCGCGGCCCCUAC
rnacentral:snRNA from 16 species